rnacentral:sRNA from 1 species
UAGACCAGUCUCCAUAGGUGUGCGUU